UUACUUCGGCAUCAACACGUGGCAUGCAUGCCACAUUUAAGAAAUAUAAUAACAAGGUGAAAUAUGAAUGAAUCAUUACUUGGUUGGGCCUAAUAUGUUGGUUAUCAUGAAGGGGUGAAUUAUGCAUCUAUUAUGUGAUUGUGCUAUAUGAAACAAUGUCGUUUCUUUGUAAUGAUGGCUCCUUGACAAUUGUUUAUGAUUGUUGAUUAUGAAUAUGUAGAGAUGAUUGAGUAUUUGAUAAUUGUUGAUGUAUGAAUGUAUUGUUUGAUAAUGCAAUAUGGGGAGAUAUGUAGAGAAUAUGAAGAGUUUUAAUGAUGUUGUGCAUUAUCGAGUCAAUACGUGGCAUCCAUGCAUUCAUAAGUCCUAUACUUGUGUUUUUGCUCAAAAUUGGUGAAGUAUAAUGUUGUUGUUGAUGAAUUCACUUCUAAUUGUUGUUGUUUUGUUAUGAGAUGUUGUUUUUGAUGAUUGAAACCUUGGGUAAUCUUAACCAUAGAGCUUGAAGUGAACUUUUGUUGUUCUUAAGAACUUUUAUGAAAAAUGUGAUUUUUAUAAAAUAAUGUUUUGGGUAAUCUUUUAUAUGGUUUUGAGUGCCUUAACAUGUAUAGAAAUGAUUAGGCAUGUUUUUGGAUCAAAUUUGGACAUAGGGAAGUUAAAAUUGGGAUUUUGGGGUGAAAAAUGGGUUUUUCCCGAGUUGCUCUGUGACAGCAUGUCCUGUUUCAUGUUCUUGCGUCUUUUUCACACGUUUAUGUUUUGAAUUGGCCUUUGGUGUAAACAUGAAAGUUUUAGAUAAUUGUGCUAGCUUUCCAGUGGCUUCAGUUUGACUUGAAAAUGAUUUUUGAUUUUUGAGUUAUGAUGAAAAUACUCCAAGGAGGUCUUAGUGAAAUUUUAUGAAAAUUCCGCAUAAGUAUUUCUAAGUUAACCCAAAACUUAUGGAUUGUCUACAAACUUCAAAGUUUGUGUACUAUGAGUUCAAUUAAGGUGUUUAAGAGUAUUAACCCAUGUUGUGAUGAAUCUAACUUGGUAUGACGUGAAUAUCUUUGAUUGAUGAAUCAUUAUAUGUAUGUAUAUGUUGAAUAAUUUGAGAUACAUAUAUUAUGUGAAUAUUGUAUGAUAUAGAAAUAUUGUUGUUCAUAUCAUUCAAAUUGUUGCUGUUAAUGUUGUUAUGAUGCAAGUUGUUAUUGUUGUUGUUGAUUGUAUUUAUAAUUGUAUUGCCUUUCAGUGAGUCUGAAUUAAUAUGAAUAUUGUUGUUGAAUAAUUUGAGAUACAUAUAUUAUGUGAAUAUUGUGUGAUAUAGAAAUAUUGUUGUUCAUAUCAUUCAAGUUGCUAUUGUUAAUGUUGUUAUGAUGCAAGUUGUUAUGUUGUUGUCUUUGCUGUUGUCGAUUAUUAAUAUCAUUAAAGUUGCAAGUUGUUGUCAAAGUCGUUAAGUUGUAAGUUCUUGAAGUUGUCUAAGUUGUUGAAGCUGUCUAAGUUGUUAAACUUGUUGGUUGUUGAGUCCAUGCAUACUCAUUAAAGUUGAGGGCUUGAUGCCCUGUGAGCCUUUUUCACUGUAUACGUCGGGGGCUUGAUGCCCUGAGAGCUUAUGCUCUAUAAGGUUGGGGGCUUGAUGCCCUGUGAGCCUUAUUCACUCUUAAAGUUUGGGGUUUGAUGCCCUGAUUGAUACCACAUGCAUAUUGCAUUUGUCAAGUUGAUGUUGUUGUCGUUGCAUUGUCGUUGAUGUCGAGUUGUCGGUGUUGUCAUCGUAUUGUCAAGUUGUCGAAAUAAUUAAUGAUUUAUAGUUGGAAUUAUGUGAAGUAUCAAUAUUAUUUAUUGUUGUUGUUUAUGUUGUUUAUGUGAAGCAAUGUUAAUGAUGAUUUGAAGUUAGCUGAUGAUUUAUAGUUGGAAUUAUGUGAAGCAUUAACAUUGUUUAAUUGUUGUUGUUUAUGUUGAUAAAUUCUCUUACUUAAAUUAUUGUUUAUUAGUUUUACUAAUGAUGAAUAGAUGUUGUUAUGUGAUGUUGAAUUCUUUUAAGAAUUAGAUGCUUAUUAUUAUUGAAUGUGAAAUCUCACCCCUUAUGCUUGGAAAUUGUUGCCUUUGCAUGGGUAACUUGCAGGUGACCAAGAAUAGUUGCAGUCACGAGUGGAAUCUCUCACGUGUCGUCUUAGGGUUGCUCUGAUACGUAACGGGAUGGGGAUCUUACUUGUUUUCCAUGUGUUACGUAUUUGUUUUGAUUUUAUGUUGAAGAUUUGCCUAGACUGGAUUUUAAUAAGUUGUUUAAGUUGAGGCCGUUGUGCCAUUACAAUGUUUAACUUAAUGUUUUCCGCUGCAAUGAGAUUUAAGUUGAUGACAUGAGAUGAUUGAAAUAAAUAGUAAAUCCUACUCCAUUUAUCUUUUAAAGUAGUGUGACAUCCUGUUUAGUUGAUUACUCUGAUUUUUAUGCAAAAAAUUUCAAGUUGGAAAAACGAGGUGUUACAAGUUCCUGAGAGGAACCCAAAAAUCGAGGCUCCCUAUCUUGUGACACUCACCUAGUGAGCCUGUCCUCGUUGUGGCGAGAUGUUCAGGACAUAACCCAUAGUUUUGGGUGUUCUGGGUAAUUGGGGUCAUUUCCGGACAUCUCCAAGUGUUCCUUUUGAUGUGUUUGAUUGUCGUUUUAACUCAUAAAGCUAAUGGAACAUAAUUUGAUUUGGAUUAAAUUGGUUUUAUGAUUUUGAGACGAGCUUUAAGUAAAAAUGUACAUGAACUUGGAAUUUCCGAAACUUGGUUUUCUCAAACGAAAUGAUGAGGCUAUGACUUUUUUUUUUUUUUUUGUAACAAUGGGCUUAGAAUAACCAAGUAGGAUUGAUAUGAACAUGAAGCUUGAGUUUUGUGAAAAAUAUCAAAAUAGGUGAUUUGUGAAAAAUAUACGAACUUUGUCAAAAUAAGGUUUUUUGAUCAAAUAACUUGCAAAUGGCUUUGUAUUCAUGUUAAUAUGAUGAAAUAAGAAAGAAUCCUUGUGUUGAUGGGUGUAUAAUAAGUUGGUUAUCAUGAUGUGGUUGAUUUUCGUCUAAACAUGCAAAUUGUGCCUUGUGAAACAAUAUUGUUUCCUCGUGGUCAUACUUGUUGAUGAUGAUUAUGAUGUUGAAUCUUUUGUCGAUCAUGACUUGUUGAAUUGUAUAGAUGUAAAUUCUUGAUAAUGCAAUGGUGAUUUUGGUGAAUAUAUUAUAUGAUUGUAAAAAUUGUAUAAUAUAGGAUUGGUGAUUUGUGCAUUGUCGAGUCUUUACUUGAAAGUCCAUGCAUUCAUGGUCAUAUUGAGUCCAUGGUGAAGAACGAAAUCCGUAAGGGUUUGUGUUGGUUAUGGUGAAGAACAUAAUUGGUGGUGUUUAUUACGUUGGUGGAUUACUAUC
rnacentral:lncRNA from 1 species